rnacentral:rRNA from 1 species
ACUGAACGCUGGCGGCGUGCUUAACACAUUCAAGUCGAACGAGAACGGGUUAUAGCUUGCUAUAAUUGUCAGCUAAUUGGCGCACGGGUGAGUAAUGUAUAGGUAAUAUGCCUCUUACUAAGGGAUAACAAAUGUAAACGUUUGCUAAUACCUUAUACUCCUUAUUAACAUAACUUAAUAAUGGACAGAUUUAUUGGUAAGAGAUUAGCCUGUAUUGUAUCAGUUAGUUGGUGGGGUAAUGGCUUACCAAGACUAUGACACAUAACUGGUUUGAGAGGAUGAUCAGUCAAACUGGAACUGAGACACGGUCCAGACUCCUACGGGAGGGAGCAGUGGGGAAUAUUGCACAAUGGACGGAAGUCUGAUGCAGCAACGCCGUGUGGAGGAUGACACAUUUCGGUGCGUAAACUCCUUUUAUAUGAGAAGACAAUGACGGUACCACCGAAGGAAGCACCGGCUAACUCCGUGCCAGCCGCCGCGGUAA